UGGGGAAUUGUUCGCAAUGGGCGCAAGCCUGACGACGCAACGCCGCGUGGAGGAUGAAGAUCUUCGGGUCGUAAACUCCUUUCGAUCGAGACGAACGGCUCCCGGGCUAAUCACCGGGAGAGUGACGGUACCGAGAGAAGAAGCCCCGGCUAACUCCGUGCCAGCAGCCGCGGUAAUACGGGGGGGGCAAGCGUUGUUCGGAAUUACUGGGCGUAAAGGGCUCGUAGGCGGCCAACUAAGUCAGACGUGAAAUCCCCCGGCUUAACCAGGGAACUGCGUCUGAUACUGGAUGGCUUGAGUUUGGGAGAGGGAUGCGGAAUUCCAGGUGUAGCGGUGAAAUGCGUAGAUAUCUGGAGGAACACCGGUGGCGAAGGCGACAUCCUGGACCAAUACUGACGCUGAGUGAGCGAAAGCCAGGGGAGCAAACGGGAUUAGAUACCCCUGUAGUCC
rnacentral:rRNA from 1 species